rnacentral:lncRNA from 1 species
UUGUCUUCCCACCUCAGCCUCCCAAGUAGCUGGGACCACAGGAGGAAAUCUCUUCACUGCUGGCACUGACAAUGGAAGACUGAGGGUGCCCGGGAUCCUUCACCCCCACAUCCAGUGAGUCCACGGAACCCAGGGUAACUGGGAUGGUAUCUGAUUGCUGUUGAAUAUCUUUAAUAUACCAAAACCUGCAAGGUGCUAGACAUACAAGAACAUGAAAAUGAAAAGAAACAUAUGAUCUGACAGCUUCUCCAUAAGAGGAAAAUCCUUAAUAGCUAAAUACUUGUUCAAAGUAUUCCUUGAAGCAAUCUCCAUUUUUUUUUCACGGUUAUGGUCAUCAAGAUAAAAAACAAAACAAAACAGAAAACAAGUUAUUUUGCCUUUAAGUCUCCAAAACUGGCUGUAUCCUCAACUUCUGUUUGCAUAUGCAGUUACAGUCUCAGAAUUUCUCCAACUUAAAGCAAAAUGUAGAAGCAAGAUAAGACUAUUGGCUUAAGAGAUUGAAAAGAAAGGAUGGAGUUUCCCAUUUUAUUUAGAAUUCAGAUUCUUUUUGAGCCAUUACU